rnacentral:rRNA from 1 species
AGAGUUUGAUCCUGGCUCAGGACGAACGCUGGCGGCGUGCUUAACACAUGCAAGCCGAACGAUGAACACCGGAGCUUGCUCUGGUGGGAUUAGUGGCGAACGGGUGAGUAACACGUGAGCAAUCUGCCCCCGACUCUGGGAUAAGCGUUGGAAACGACGUCUAAUACCGGAUACGACACCUCCUGGCAUCAGGUGGGUGUGGAAAGAAUUUCGGUUGGGGAUGAGCUCGCGGCCUAUCAGCUUGUUGGUGAGGUAAUGGCUCGCCAAGGCGACGACGGGUAGCCGGCCUGAGAGGGUGACCGGCCACACUGGGACUGAGACACGGCCCAGACUCCUACGGGAGGCAGCAGUGGGGAAUAUUGCACAAUGGGCGCAAGCCUGAUGCAGCAACGCCGCGUGGGGGACGAAGGCCUUCGGGUUGUAAACCCCUUUUAGCAGGGAAGAAGCGCAAGUGACGGUACCUGCAGAAAAAGCACCGGCUAACUACGUGCCAGCAGCCGCGGUAAUACGUAGGGUGCAAGCGUUGUCCGGAAUUAUUGGGCGUAAAGAGCUCGUAGGCGGUGUGUCGCGUCUGCUGUGAAAAUCCAAGGCUCAACCUUGGACCUGCAGUGGGUACGGGCACACUGGAGUGCGGUAGGGGAGAUUGGAAUUCCUGGUGUAGCGGUGGAAUGCGCAGAUAUCAGGAGGAACACCAAUGGCGAAGGCAGAUCUCUGGGCCGUAACUGACGCUGAGGAGCGAAAGCGUGGGGAGCGAACAGGAUUAGAUACCCUGGUAGUCCACGCCGUAAACGGUGGGAACUAGAUGUGGGGUCCGUUCCACGGAUUCCGUGUCGCAGCUAACGCAUUAAGUUCCCCGCCUGGGGAGUACGGCCGCAAGGCUAAAACUCAAAGGAAUUGACGGG